UGACUCAUAGCUCAGUCAGAGCACCUGCCUUAUACGCAGUAGGUUCCCGGCCAUCGUGGUACGAUUCGAUUCUGGGUGAGUCAA
rnacentral:tRNA from 1 species